GACGAACGCUGGCGGCGUGCCUAACACAUGCAAGUCGAACGGAGAUUUUAUUUAUGAAAUCUUAGUGGCGAACGGGUGAGUAACGCGUAGACAACCUGCCUUUUAGAUGGGGACAACACCGCGAAAGUGGUGCUAAUACCGAAUGUUGUAUUUUGGUCGCAUGAUUGAGAUACUAAAGAUGGCCUCUAUUUAUAAGCUAUCACUCAAAGAUGGGUCUGCGUCUGAUUAGCUAGUUGGUGAGGUAAUGGCUCACCAAGGCGACGAUCAGUAGCCGGUCUGAGAGGAUGAACGGCCACACUGGGACUGAGACACGGCCCAGACUCCUACGGGAGGCAGCAGUGGGGAAUCUUCCGCAAUGGACGAAAGUCUGACGGAGCAACGCCGCGUGAGUGAAGGAGGUUUUCGGAUCGUAAAACUCUGUUUUCAGGGACGAAUGUGCGAUGUGUAAAUAAUGCAUUGUAAUGACGGUACCUGAGUAGAAAGCCACGGCUAACUACGUGCCAGCAGCCGCCGUAA
rnacentral:rRNA from 1 species